GGGUCAUCGCUAAUGCGCCUUCGCUAGAAACGAGUAAAAACUAUUUCGAAAAGAUACGAUUAAUCUUCCAAGAAACAAAAUGAGUAAUUUUGCAACACGCCGAUAAGAUAAAAUAUUAUUCCUGAAAGAUAAAAUUAAUCAUCACGAAAUAAAAUUAAUUAUUUUAGCAACGCGCCCCAAAUUUUUCUGCUGUCAUCACACGUGGCCCAUUUUGUGCCGGAAAAAAUCUUCUCCUGGCAUAGUUCUCGCAAAAAUUACCUUUUAUUGGUCGAUCUGAUAGGCAAUAGAACCGGUUCCGACGUGGGAUCAGUAGCCGACAGCGCCGGUUCCGGUUGUGCGAGGGCGCAGGUAGACGGGUGUCUCAGGCCUGACUUCUUAGGCAAAGGUGAAGGAUACGUUGCUGGUUGUUCGAGAAAAUAAAAAGGCGGAAGAGCAGCAGUGAAAGGCGUCUCUUGAAUCAUGAAGCGGACAACAAAUGUUAGGGCGGCUCCCGAAGGAGAAAGCGAGGGAAUUGCAAGUGGAGAUCAAAACCUGGAGGAAGCGCUCGGCUGCUCGGAAAUGAAACUUCGUGUCUGUUAUAAGUGAAAAACAAAGUGAUUUAAAAAUGUUUAAUAAAUAAACAGUUGUAAUAAAA